rnacentral:lncRNA from 1 species
UCAUAGGGAGAGAAAAGUAGGAUAAGGCCAUAUGGAGCAUGUUUUAAAACAAAAUGUUGAACAAGAACUCAAGUGUGAUAAACAUGGUGGUCAGGAGAAGAAUGGCUGGUAUGCACACUGCAAAGUAGAGUCUACAGAGUGAGGAGACAUUUCAACAUUUUAAAAGCCUAGCCCACGGCUCCCUACUCAUUGUUCUUUUUUGGACCACAUUUUUCCCAUAAAAAUUCUGAAUACAGCUAGGCAUGGUGGCACAUGCCUAUAAUCCAAGAGACUCAGGAGGCUGAGAUAGGAGGAUCACAAGUUUGACGCCAGUCUCAGCAAUUCAGCAAGACCUUGUCUGAAAAUAAAAAAUAAUGACUGGGAAUGUGGCUCAGUGGUAGCUCACUUGGAAUGCAUGAAACCUA